rnacentral:rRNA from 1 species
UACAGAGGUCCCAAGCGUUAGGCGGAAUCACUGGGCUUAAAGCGUGUGUAGGCGGAUGCCUAAGUACCUUGUGAAAUCCCACGGCUUAACCGUGGAACUGCUGGGUAUACUGGGUGUCUUGAGCCAUCUAGGGGCCUGCGGAACAAACGGUGGAGCGGUGAAAUGCGUAGAUAUCGUUUGGAACGCCAACGGUGAAAACAGCAGGCUGGGGAUGUGCUGACG